AUUGAACGCUGGCGGCAGGCCUAACACAUGCAAGUCGAACGAGUGGCGGACGGGUGAGUAAUGUCUGGGAAACUGCCUGAUGGAGGGGGAUAACUACUGGAAAAGGUAGCUAAUACCGCAUACCAUCGGAUGUGCCCAGAGGGGAUUAGCUAGUAGGUGGGGUAAAGGCUAACCUGGGCGACGAUCCCUAGCUGGUCUGAGAGGAGGACGAGCCACACUGGAACGGAGACACGGUCCAGAUUCCUACGGGAGGAAGCAGGGGGGAAUAUUGGACAAUGGGCGCAAGCCUGAUGCAGCCAUGCCGGGUGUAUGAAGAAGGCCUUCGGGUUGUAAAGUACUUUAAGCGGGGAGGCGUUACCCGCAGAAGAAGCACCGGCUAACUCCGUGCCAGCAGCCGCGGUAAUAC
rnacentral:rRNA from 1 species